CGGGACGGGUGAGUAACGCGUGGGUAACCUGCCUCACACUGGGGGAGUAACAGUUAGAAAUAGCUGCUAAUACCGCAUAAGCGCACGGUUCCGCAUGGAACAGCGUGAAAAACUCCGGUGGUGUGAGAUGGACCCGCGUCUGAUUAGCCAGUUGGCGGGGUGACGGCCCACCAAAGCGACGAUCAGUAGCCGGCCUGAGAGGGUGAACGGCCACAUUGGGACUGAGACACGGCCCAA
rnacentral:rRNA from 1 species